rnacentral:rRNA from 1 species
GGACUGCAGUCUGCAACUCGACUGCACGAAGCUGGAAUCGCUAGUAAUCGCGGAUCAGCACGCCGCGGUGAAUACGUUCCCGGGCCUUGUACACACCGCCCGUCACACCAUGGAAGUCUGCAAUGCCCGAAGCCGGUGGCCUAACCACUUAUGUGGAAGGAGCCGUCUAAGGCAGGGCAGAUGACUGGGGUGAAGUCGUAACAAGGUAAC